GUUUGGUUAUUUUAACAUGCCGAGAUGUCAUACCGCAGUUUACCAUGGAAUCCCCAACUCAGACACAGCAUACUCUAUCUUCGAACCGAUCAGUCCUGAUCCAUGCUUUAUUCUCUUAAUGCUAUGGAGGUUGUGUGACGUCACCAUGUUUCAAAACGGAGAGAUCUCACGAGACUUGCGAGAAUGCACUGUAGAAAACAGACUUGCUUAUGACUGACCUCUCGGAACUAUUUACUAAAUCUAGCUGGAACGUGUGAUUUCGUGGAUUCUAUGAGGAUCUGUAUGACAGACUACGUGGCCAGCUGAUCGAACCUCACAAGAAGCCUUCACUGAUUUCAGUUUGACGAUCUGGAGUUCAGGUUUUGAAAGGAGAGGUAAAGUUUAACGACCUUCUUUGAUUCAGGGUUUGGAUUAUAAAUAUCAAAUUGCAACUGCACUUGU